UACAGAGGUCUCAAGCGUUUGUUCGGAUUCAUUGGGCGUAAAGGGUGUGUAGGUGGCGCGCUAAGUCGGGGUGUGAAAUUUUCGGAGCUUAACUCCGAAACUGCAUUCGAUACUGGCGUGCUUUGAGGACUGGAGAGGAGACUGGAAUUCAUGGUGUAGCAGUGAAAUGCGUAGAGAUCAUGAGGAAGACCAGUGGCGAAGGCGGGUCUCUGGACAGUUCCUGACACUGAGACACGAAAGGCCAGGGGAGCAAACGGG
rnacentral:rRNA from 1 species